UACGAAGGGGGCUAGCGUUGUUCGGAGUUACUGGGCGUAAAGGGCGCGUAGGCGGUCUGUCGCGUCGGUCGUGAAAACUUGGGGCUUAACCCUGAGCUUGCGGUCGAUACGGGCAUGACUGGAGUUCGGUAGGGGAGACUGGAAUUCCUGGUGUAGCGGUGAAAUGCGCAGAUAUCAGGAGGAACACCGGUGGCGAAGGCGGGUCUCUGGGCCGAUACUGACGCUGAGGAGCGAAAGCGUGGGGAGCGAACAGG
rnacentral:rRNA from 1 species